AUGCGCCAUGUUGCUACCAUCACCAGCAUCAAGGAGAGUGGGAAUGCAGCAAUCUCCUCACACAGCCAUCAUUGCCUACCAAUUCCUACAUCAAAUACAAAUUAUCACUUGGGGAAGGACGGCUGCGGCUGCGUGGUGACUAAGCAGACAGAUGGCAGGUAUAAGUAUGGCCUGACGUUUACUGAGAAGUGGAACACUGACAACACACUAGGUACCGAGAUUACCGUGGAGGAUCAGCUUGCACGAGGACUGAAGCUGACCUUCGAUUCAUCCUUCUCACCAAACACUGGGAAAAAAAUGCUAAAAUCAAGACAGGGUACAAACGUGAGCACAUCAAUCUGGGCUGCGACGUGGACUUUGACAUCGCUGGGCCUUCGAUCCGGGGUGCUCUGGUGCUGGGUUAUGAGGGCUGGCUGGCAGGCUACCAGAUGAAUUUUGAAACUGCAAAGUCCCGAGUGACCCAGAGCAACUUUGCUGUUGGCUAAAAGACGGAUGAAUUCCAGCUUCACACUAAUGUGAAUGAUGGGACAGAGUUUGGUGGCUCCAUUUACCAGAAGGUGAACAAGAAGUUGGAGACCGCUGUCAAUCUUGCCUGGACAGCAGGGAAUAGUAACACUCGCUUUGGAAUAGCAGCCAAGUAUCAGAUCGACCCUGAUGCCUGCUUCUCGGCCAAAGUGAACAACUCCAGCCUGAUUGGACUAGGGUACACUCAAACCCUAAAGCCAGGUAUCAAACUGACGCUGUCAGCUCUGCUGGAUGGCAAAAAUGUCAACGCCGGCGGCCACAAGCUUGGUCUAGGACUGGAAUUUCAAGCAUAAAUGAAUACUGUACAAUCGUUAAUUUUAAGCAGCAUAGCUACCUUCAGAAUUUAGUGUACCUUUUAAUGUUGUCUGUUUGGGAUGCAAGAAUGCUAAAUAUUAUGUUAGAUCUCCAGGUUUAAAGAUGAUUCAGCUUUAAGGUGUUACAGAAGAAACCCGAUUCCAAAAAAGAUCCUUUCAGCUGUAGCAUAGGGGAGAACUUAGUAGUCGCUCUAAAGAUGCCAGGUUUCUUCGUUUUUAAAUCUAGGAAUUGCGGCAAAUGGAAACUAAUAAUGAACUGUAGGUUCUUUGUUAAUCUGUAUUGAGUCAGUGAAUGAAAUUGUGACUUCCUGA